rnacentral:rRNA from 1 species
GAUGAACGCUAGCGGCAGGCCUAAUACAUGCAAGUCGAACGGUGUCUUCGGACAUAGUGGCGCACGGGUGCGUAACACGUAUGCAACCUACCUUACAUUGGGGGAUAGCCUUUCGAAAGGGAGAUUGAUACCGCAUAAGACAGUAGCUGGGCAUCCAGCAGCUGAUAAAGAUUUAUCGAUGUAAGCUGGGCAUGCGUCCAAUUAGCUAGUUGGUGAGGUAACGGCUCACCAAGGCAAUGAUUGGUAGGGGAACUGAGAGGUCAAUCCCCCACACUGGCACUCAGAUACGGGCCAGACUCCUACGGGAGGCAGCAGUAGGGAAUAUUGGGCAAUGGACGCAAGUCUGACCCAGCCAUGCCGCGUGCAGGAUGAAGGCGUUAUGCGUUGUAAACUGCUUUUAUACAGGAAGAAACGACUCUUGCGAGAGGCAUUGACGGUACUGUAUGAAUAAGCACCGGCUAACUCCGUGCCAGCAGCCGCCGUAACAC